UUCAGGACAAAUAAAGUCAUUGGCAAACAACUUGGAGUUGUGUUUGGAAAAAAGAUGACAUGAGGAAGAACAGUAUUGCACCUUCACUAUGGACCUUGAAUCCAUGAUCCAUGAAGAUGUAAUUAUCUAUGAACGAGAAGAAAUGAGAAGAUCAAGGCUGGAAUUAUGGAUCACCAACUACUAGAUAGUUUUUAUAUGGAUCGUCACUAGGUUCUUUGUAUUAUGUGUUUUAAGGAUUUUCUUAGUAGUCGAUAGCUUAUAAUAUUGUAAAUUUGAAGGCAUUGUGAAAUUUAAUUUUUU